rnacentral:rRNA from 1 species
UACAGAGGGUGCAAGCGUUGUUCGGAAUUAUUGGGCGUAAAGGGCGCGUAGGCGGUGCGGUAAGUCUCUUGUGAAAUCUCCGGGCUCAACCCGGAGCCUGCAAGGGAAACUGGGUGACUGGAGACAAGUAGAGGCAGAUGGAAUUCCGGGUGUAGCGGUGGAAUGCGUAGAGAUCCGGAAGAACACCAGAGGCGAAGGCGAUCUGCUGGGUUUGGUCUGACGCUGAGGCGCGAAAGCGUGGGGAGCGAACAGG